GAUGAGCGCUGGCGGCGUGCCUAGUACAUGCAAGUCGAGCGAACAGACGAGGAGCUUGCUCCUCUGACGUUAGCGGCGGACGGGUGAGUAACACGUGGAUAACCUACCUAUAAGACUGGGAUAACUUCGGGAAACCGGAGCUAAUACCGGAUAAUAUAUUGAACCGCAUGGUUCAAUAGUGAAAGACGGUUUUGCUGUCACUUAUAGAUGGAUCCGCGCCGCAUUAGCUAGUUGGUAAGGUAACGGCUUACCAAGGCAACGAUGCGUAGCCGACCUGAGAGGGUGAUCGGCCACACUGGAACUGAGACACGGUCCAGACUCCUACGGGAGGCAGCAGUAGGGAAUCUUCCGCAAUGGGCGAAAGCCUGACGGAGCAACGCCGCGUGAGUGAUGAAGGUCUUCGGAUCGUAAAACUCUGUUAUUAGGGAAGAACAAAUGUGUAAGUAACUAUGCACGUCUUGACGGUACCUAAUCAGAAAGCCACGGCUAACUACGUG
rnacentral:rRNA from 1 species